rnacentral:rRNA from 1 species
AACCUUUACACUGCACGCCAGUGCGAUAAGGGGACUCCAAGUGCGAGGGCAUAUAGUCCUCGCUUUUCUGGACUGUAAGGUGGUCCAGGAACAAGGGCUGGGCAAGACCGGUGCCAGCCGCCGCGGUAAUACCGGCAGCCCAAGUGAUGGCCGAUCUUAUUGGGCCUAAAGCGUCCGUAGCUGGCCGCGCAAGUCUAUCGGAAAAUCCACCCGCUCAACGGGUGGGCGUCCGGUGGAAACUGCCUGGCUUGGGACCGGAAGACCUGAGGGGUACGUCCGGGGUAGGAGUGAAAUCCCGUAAUCCUGGACGGACCACCGGUGGCGAAAGCGCCUCAGGAAGACGGAUCCGACGGUGAGGGACGAAAGCUCGGGUCACGAACCGGAUUAGAUACCCGGGUAGUCCGAGCUGUAAACGAUGUCUGCUAGGUGUGACACAGGCUACGAGCCUGUGUUGUGCCGUAGGGAAGCCGUGAAGCAGACCGCCUGGGAAGUACGUCCGCAAGGAUGAAACUUAA